UUGUCUCUGUGUGGGUAUAUC
ensembl:piRNA 21ur-5097 ncRNA